CGAAACUGCGAAUGGCUCAUUAAAUCAGUUAUCGUUUAUUUGAUAGUACCUUACUACUUGGAUAACCGUGGUAAUUCUAGAGCUAAUACAUGCUAAAAACCCCGACUCACGAAGGGGUGUAUUUAUUAGAUUAAAAACCAAUGCCCUUCUGGGCUCUUUGGUGAUUCAUAAUAACUUCUCGAAUCGCAUGGCCUUGCGCCGGCGAUGGUUCAUUCAAAUUUCUGCCCUAUCAACUUUCGAUGGCAGGGUCUUGGCCUGCCAUGGUUACAACGGGUAACGGAGGGUUAGGGCUCGACCCCGGAGAAGGAGCCUGAGAAACGGCUACUACAUCCAAGGAAGGCAGCAGGCGCGCAAAUUACCCAAUCCCGACUCGGGGAGGUAGUGACAAUAAAUACUGAUACAGGGCUCUUUUGGGUCUUGUAAUUGGAAUGAGUACAAUUUAAAUCUCUUAACGAGGAACAAUUGGAGGGCAAGUCUGGUGCCAGCAGCCGCGGUAAUUCCAGCUCCAAUAGCGUAUAUUAAAGUUGUUGCAGUUAAAAAGCUCGUAGUUGAACCUUGGGCCUGGCUGGCCGGUCCGCCUCACCGCGUGCACUGGUUCGGCCGGGCCUUUCCCUCUGGGGAACUGCAUGCUCUUCACUGAGCGUGUUAGGGAACCAGGACUUUUACUGUGAAAAAAUUAGAGUGUUCAAAGCAGGCCUAUGCUCGAAUACAUUAGCAUGGAAUAAUGAAAUAGGACGUGUGGUUCUAUUUUGUUGGUUUCUAGGACCGCCGUAAUGAUUAAUAGGGACAGUCGGGGGCAUCAGUAUUCAAUUGUCAGAGGUGAAAUUCUUGGAUUUAUUGAAGACUAACUACUGCGAAAGCAUUUGCCAAGGAUGUUUUCAUUAAUCAGGAACGAAAGUUAGGGGAUCGAAGACGAUCAGAUACCGUCGUAGUCUUAACCAUAAACUAUGCCGACUAAGGAUCGGACGAAGUUACAUUUUGACUCGUUCGGCACUUUACGAGAAAUCAAAGUCU
rnacentral:rRNA from 1 species